rnacentral:piRNA from 1 species
CUUCCCAGAAGAUGAGUGCAUGAGAGG